GCUUGCUUGGUGGAUCAGUGGCGAACGGGUGAGUAACACGUGAGCAACCUGCCCUGGACUCUGGGAUAAGCGCUGGAAACGGCGUCUAAUACUGGAUAUGAGCCUCUUCCGCAUGGUGGGGGUUGGAAAGAUUUUUUGGUCUGGGAUGGGCUCGCGGCCUAUCAGCUUGNNNGUGAGGUAAUGGCUCACCAAGGCGUCGACGGGUAGCCGGCCUGAGAGGGUGACCGGCCACACUGGGACUGAGACACGGCCCAGACUCCUACGGGAGGCAGCAGUGGGGAAUAUUGCACAAUGGGCGAAAGCCUGAUGCAGCAACGCCGCGUGAGGGAUGACGGCCUUCGGGUUGUAAACCUCUUUUAGCAGGGAAGAAGCGAAAGUGACGGUACCUGCAGAAAAAGCGCCGGCUAACUACGUGCC
rnacentral:rRNA from 1 species